rnacentral:rRNA from 1 species
AUGAUUAAUAGGGAUAGUCGGGGGCGUCAGUAUUCAGCUGUCAGAGGUGAAAUUCUUGGAUUUGCUGAAGACUAACUACUGCGAAAGCAUUCGCCAAGGAUGUUUUCAUUAAUCAGGGAACGAAAGUUAGGGGAUCGAAGACGAUCAGAUACCGUCGUAGUCUUAACCAUAAACUAUGCCGACUAGGGAUCGGACGGUGUUUCUAUUAUGACCCGUUCGGCACCUUACGAGAAAUCAAAGNUUUUGGGUUCUGGGGGGAGUAUGGUCGCAAGCUGAAACUUAAAGAAAUUGACGGAAGGGCACCACCAGGCGUGGAGCCUGCGGCUUAAUUUGACUCAACACGGGGAAACUCACAAGNCCAGAA